rnacentral:rRNA from 1 species
UACGAAGGGGGCUAGCGUUGCUCGGAAUCACUGGGCGUAAAGCGCACGUAGGCGGGUUCUUAAGUCAGGGAUGAAAUCCUGGAGCUCAACUCCAGAACUGCCUUUGAUACUGGGAAUCUCGAGUCCGGGAGAGGUGAGUGGAACUGCGAGUGUAGAGGUGAAAUUCGUAGAUAUUCGCAAGAACACCAGUGGCGAAGGCGGCUCACUGGCCCGGUACUGACGCUGAGGUGCGAAAGCGUGGGGAGCAAACAGG